AUGAUUUCUUUCUCUUUUCUCCCAGAGUGCCUCAAUUUACAAAUGUGCCCUAAACGCCUCACAAGCAGAUGCACGAUCAGACCCGCCCCCCUCGCCGUGGGAGGACCCGACUGCUUCUGUGGUGCUGCUGCCUGCUGGGAGGCUUCAUGUUGUCCGAACAUCCGGAUGUCGGCCUGCUCACAGGGUUGUUUUUCCGAUGGUGACCCGAACGUGACUGAGAAGCCGUGAAUCCAGGAGUCUGAUGUAUGAAAACCAGAACGUGAUCAGAAGACGUGAGGCUCACGUUGGGAGCGGACGCCAUCAGCUGACUGGGAUUCAUACGACACGACGACACGCACUCACGUCUGUCUGAGUUUUCCACAUGUGACUCCUGGACAGACGAGACGCCGAGCUGCUUCGGACGCUUUUUCUUUGGGAACAUCUGAAAUGGCGUUGUGUGUUUGGUCACGUGGUCAUCGGACGACCUGGAGGUGCGGUCUGUUUGUCACGCGAGGACGCCGACCACAGCAGCGACGCACCGCGAGGCCGUCAGGGUGGCUUCUAACUGGGCAGGUCUGUGCUUCAGUUCAACCAGGGAAAACAUCUGGUGCUUCUUCCUGUUCAGAGUCACUUCCUGUUCCUGUUCGUGAUUGUAGUUUGAAGCCAACCAGAACAGAACUGCAGCAGCGAGUCUCCAGCUUCCGAACUCUGCGUGACAAACUGAGGCGCGAAGACAUUGGGGUCGCGGGUUCGAUUCCCCCUCGUGGUGGCUGUUAAGGCGCUUUGGAGAAAAGCGGCGCCGGGCGGCGGAAUCUGAAGCGUUUACAGGCAUUUCCAUACGAACACGCUGCAACACAGAAACAGAUGGGAACAGGUUAACAUGACGAACCCAACGGCGCCCCCUGCGGACGCUCGUUUACAGGAACAAAACUUUAUUCGUACGUCGUGCAGAGACGAGUUUACGCCUUUAAUAUCUGCAGACUGCAGAACAGUUUAGUUUCUGACGUGUUUCUGGUGUAAACUGUGGAAUUCGAAGUGAGUGUCGGCCUGUUAUUGAUCAGCGAUCGGGUCACCUGCAGUCGUCUCCUCCCGUGCUGAUCACGUAUUUGUCUUCGUGGGAGAAGCGGAUGUUGGUCACGUGAGCUGAGUGGCCGAGGGGAAGUCGAACAGUUUGACCAAUCCGAAGUCGUCGCCGGUGACGACGUUCAGGCCGGCGUGAGACACACACGCACAGUUGACUUCAGCUUUGUCUGCAUUUCGGGGCCAAAUUCCCAAAACUUCAUCUCCCAGGAUGCUGAGGGAGGAAGAAGACGAAGAAGAAGAAGAAGAAGAAGAAGAAGAAGAGGUAAACCAGUGAGGACAGCGAGAGGACAGACUACAGGCCAGAUACGACGAGACAAAGGAAGAAACCACCGUGCGUUGCCAUGGUUACCGGUGCUGAGACUGUGGACGAUGGCGGUGGAGGCAGUGUGGUAGACGAUGUCAGUGCCAUCGUUGAGGUAGUGCAGGUUGUUACGACAAUCGAAGCCCCGAAAGCCAAAGACGUGAUCCAAAAUCAGGUCCUACAGAGGGACAAGACACGGGAGACAGGAAGUGGAAGUCUUGUCUUUGGUCUGUUGUCCAUCACAGACCAGGUCCUGUCAUCUGAUGAAUACACACUGAAUGGAUCUUUAUCUGCUCGUGUGUGGAAACGUGUUCGAGCGGCAUGAACGAGUGAUGACGAGAGAACGAGUGCGGGACAGGAAGCAGGUGAUGGACGGAAGAGGGAUCGCUCUCGAUAACGCAAAGAUGACAGGAAGU